AGUGACCAAGGAGGUGAGCCAGGAGAGGAGAGCAGGCAGUCCAUGGACAAUGAAGAGACAGGCGCUGACAACCCUCUGCUGAAUGGAGAUGCCAGUGGCCAAGGAGAGGAAGGUGUUCUAGGAAUGGAGGAUGGAAAGCUGUCAGACAAUGACAGAGCAGACACUGAAAUCUGUCAGAAGACACAUGCUGAUUCCCAUCCAUUGAAUGUACCCAAGGUUGUCAGGUAAAAUCUCCACAUGAGGACUCCUUUGGUAGAUCGUCAUUGUCCAUUGAAUGACAAUCUCAUUUCUCCCUUCAGGACCGAGUUUGGGAAACCCUGUUAUCUCUUUAGGGAACAGUAUUAUGGUGGAUCAUGAAUGUGAAUGUUGAUGUCUUAUUACUCCAACAGGGUUAACGAUGAGACUAAGGAAGCGACUCCUGGUGCACAGAGUCCAGGACCACCUCAGAUGAAUGGAGGACCUCCCAUGUCUAACAGAGCUGCAGAGGAGACCACUGCUCUAUUGGACAAACAGGCCUUGGACAAGGACCAAGUCACCAAACCCCCUGAGUUAAUAGACCAAGGACCUAAUGACAUGGAGUCAAGUAGAGGAGAACUGUAACAAACGGUGGACGUUUGUAUAACAAAAGAAAACCUAACACCAUAUGAUAAGACACAGUAAUACUGUAUAUAAUAUACAUAUUAUAAGAUACACAUUUGUGACUUGCUUCAUCAUAAUCAGUCAUGUCAACCCCAAGGCACAUUCUGAAAAGUGUAUUUUACUACUCAUUUGACACUCUAGAUGAUAUUACAUCAGACUUUAUUUAAACCACUGUUUUCAUACGAAAGCACGAUUGGUCAGUUCAAACAGGAUGUUCUCUUUAUAAUGCAAUAUAGGAGCAUUAAUAACACCUUCUAUUCAUAAUGCAUCAGGAUGCACAACAUAGGUGCUAAUAACUGCUCAUGAACAUCUAUAACUGCAUAAAGCAUUAUCACCAGGAUGUGUAAUGCCUCAUGAAGUAAAGUAUUACUAUGCCAGAUGCCAUUUUUGAAAAGCACAUUAGGAGCAUUAUAUUAUAUAUUAAGUGAUAGGCUAUAUUCUAAUUUCACUGCAUACCCUCUUACACCUAUGUAACUCCGUCUUGAGGGCAUAAAGGGAUAGUUCACCCAAAUUACAAAACGACAUGUUGUUGUUGUUACCCUGUAAGCAGUCUAUGAACAAGUUAAGAAAGCAAUCCAAUGCUUUGGUUUUGUUUACUGUACUUGGUUAGGGAAAUGCAAACGUUUUAGCGUUUGUAACCCUGUUAAAAGCAUUUUUUUGCAAAUCAUCCUAAAGUGUCAACAUUUGAUCUAAAAAGUUUGUAUUUGAAGACAGUGGUCAGGUAAACAAAACCAAAGCAUGGAUUGCUGUCUGAGCUUGUCCAUAGACUGCUUAUGGUGUAAAGAAAGCAAAUUAUAUUUUGUCAUUUGAGUGAACAAUCCCUUUAACAGGAGUGCGGAACUCCGACGUGAAGUCGUUACAGUAUAGCCCUCUGACACAAUUUCCUAAAGAGCAUUUCAUGUAGGUCAUACCACUUAGCUUCAUAAUCAUAAGGCAUUAUGCUGCCUGCUUAAAAUGCUGUAGGAAUAUAUAGACAUGUAGGAAUAUAUAGACAUUAGCAGCCAUUAGUGCCUAUUUCAUGCCAUAUGAUGUAUAAUGCAUAGAUUAUAAGGUGUUAUAAAUACACUUAUAACACAUUAUGAAUAGGGUAUUCAUAGGAAGUGUUACCCACAGGUCUUGCAGAAGAAACUGUACCCCACAUCCCCACCUACUAGUGACAUUGUGAAAAAUACCACAACUUUAGACAGGAAUUGUGUAGCUAUGUUGACAUUUGUGUUCAUCGUUUAAUUAGAAUGUUUAUUUCGGUCAGAGUGUCGGUCAGGUCAAAUGACUUAGGCGAAUGACAUACCCACAUACACUGACACCUUAUAACCUUAGUGUCAGAAAAGGUUCAUUUCCUUCACAUUUGAAUGAUGCUUGUUUACUUACUUGUAAUGUAUUUGAUAUGUCCUGUCUGUGGGUUGAUCUCAUAUAUUUAUGAAUGGCUUUCGACCUGAUGCUUUUCAUGGUUAGUUACCUUACACAUGUAUUUAGUUUCAUUUACUUAUUACAUUUUCAUUUCCAUUUUAUAGUACUAUGCAUUUUGACUGUUGGAUUGAUAUGAUCUGCUCAUACAUUGCCAUACAAGUGAGUGAGUUAAGACUAUUGUUUAAUGAACGACUCAGGUCUGAUGGAUACAGUUGUCCCUCAUACUCUCUUGUAUUAUUUGUAACAAACUUUCUGCAUGUAUCUGUAUGAGGAAACCUCCACAUUAUUGUCAUAUCUACUUUUUAGCCUGCAAGUUUAGGAGGGCUAUUCUGCAGAGUUUUGUGUUUUAUAUAAUAGAAAUGUAGACCCUAAGAUUACUUCUUAGUAUUAUAAUAUGCGUUUAAUUCCUUUUAUCAUUAAAACAUUCCCUUCCAGCUUGUGGUCGUGUUUUC